rnacentral:tRNA from 1 species
GGGGCUGUAGCUCAGCUGGGAGAGCACCUGGUUUGCAACCAGGGGGUCGUCGGUUCGAUCCCGAUCAGCUCCACCA